AGGAAAAAAAAGAGGAUGCAUUACAACUACAAUGGAGAGUGAAGAGGCUGUCAAGAAAGAAUGAGCUAGGAUAAAAUGUUGCAAUGAAGGUGAUUUUGUCCAUUGCUUAAAACUAGACCAGCAUAAAUUAAAACAUUUAUGAUAGGAAUAGCUUAUGAUGGGGUUUUCUUGGAAUAGUUAUGCUUCUUGUACAUUUUUUUUCCUUCAAAAUGUCAUGAGAAUCUUUAAUCGGCAUAACUAUUCUCUAUGUAUACUAAGCUUUUAAAGAUUGCUUGUCUAACCUUAUUCCAGACCUUAUGCCUGCUUUAUACCCUAACGAGAGGUAUCCAGCCUAGAAGUGCAGCUUCUUAUCACAGGUAGGCAGCUGGAACAAAGCAUGUAGAUAUACUCCUUUCUUCUGAAUAGGGAUGGUACAGUAUACACUGGGUUAGGAGAAUGGGGUUUUAUCAAUACUCUCGUCUGUCGACCAUCUACUAAAUUUGUCAACAAUCUACGAAAGGUCAGAAGAAAAGUGAUUCCUUCCAUCCUAUCCAUGCACGCUUGCUUGAAGAACCCUUCCUUGUCCCAAAACUUGGAAAGGAAAUGGGCAUAGAUCCCAUCUAAAAUGACAGCUAAACUUAUCCAUAUAAUGAAUCCCCAGCUUUUGAGUCUUGUAAAUGACUGCUUGAAAUUUUCUCCGGGGCCUAUCGGCAGUGCAAAACAAGCUUGUUACCCACAAACAGAGGGGAAGGAUACCUUCUAAAUUGCUGCUCGCCGUAAACAAACAGGUGGACACCAGGUGCAGGGUCCAGCAAUUACAGCUUCGUCACUCAUCAAAUGAUUGCUUUAGGCUCUGUUCAGCAUCGAAUUAAACUCCUUGUCCUUUAAGUUUGCAAGGAAAUUAAUGAGCCAGAUACCUUCUAAAUUGCCACAAACCUCAUCCAGAAUGGUGAUGCCACUUCCUUUUUCUGUCUUUUGUUUUCUGGGGUGGG
rnacentral:lncRNA from 1 species